UGGGGAAUAUUGGACAAUGGGCGCAAGCCUGAUCCAGCCAUGCCGCGUGAGUGAUGAAGGCCCUAGGGUUGUAAAGCUCUUUCACCGGUGAAGAUAAUGACGGUAACCGGAGAAGAAGCCCCGGCUAACUUCGUGCCAGCAGCCGCGGUAAUACGAAGGGGGCUAGCGUUGUUCGGAUUUACUGGGCGUAAAGCGCACGUAGGCGGACUAUUAAGUCAGGGGUGAAAUCCCGGGGCUCAACCCCGGAACUGCCUUGGAUACUGGUAGUCUUGAGUUCGAGAGAGGUGAGUGGAAUUCCGAGUGUAGAGGUGAAAUUCGUAGAUAUUCGGAGGAACACCAGUGGCGAAGGCGGCUCACUGGCUCGAUACUGACGCUGAGGUGCGAAAGCGUGGGGAGCAAACAGG
rnacentral:rRNA from 1 species